rnacentral:sRNA from 12 species
CCCUCCAUGCCUCUUCAUAAUGCACAAACAGGAGGGU